CCUACGGGUGGCAGCAGUAGGGAAUUUUUCACAAUGGGCGAAAGCCUGAUGGAGCAACGCCGCGUGCAGGAUGAAGGCCUUCGGGUUGUAAACUGCUUUUAUAAGCGAGAAAUAUGAUGGUAACUUAUGAAUAAGGAUCGGCUAACUACGUGCCAGCAGCCGCGGUCAUACGUAGGAUCCGAGCAUUAUCCGGAGUGACUGGGUGUAAAGAGUUGCGUAGGUGGCAUAAUAAGUAGCUAGUGAAAUCUGGUGGCUCAACCAUUCAGACUAUUAGCUAAACUGUUAAGCUCGAGACCGUUAGGGGUAACUGGAAUUUCUAGUGUAGGAGUGAAAUCCGUAGAGAUUAGAAGGAACACCAAUAGCGUAGGCAGGUUGCUGGGACGGUUCUGACACUAAGGCACGAAAGCGUAGGGAGCAAACGGGAUUAGAUACCCGAGUAGUC
rnacentral:rRNA from 1 species